UAAUAUUAGUCCAGUCCAAUU
rnacentral:piRNA from 1 species